rnacentral:rRNA from 1 species
AACGUAGGAGCCAAGCGUUAUCCGAAUUCACUGGGCGUAAAGCGUGUGCAGGCGGCGGAAUAAGUUGGAUGUGAAAUCUCCUGGCUCAACUGGGAGAGGCCGUUCAAUACUGUUCAGCUCGAGGGCAACAGAGGGAGGUGGAAUUCCCGGUGUAGUGGUGAAAUGCGUAGAUAUCGGGAGGAACACCAGUGGCGAAAGCGGCCUCCUGGGUUGCACCUGACGCUCAGACACGAAAGCUAGGGGAGCGAACGGG